AACGUAGGACACAAGCGUUAUCCGGAGUUACUGGGCGUAAAGGGCGCGUAGGCGGUCCGACAAGUCAGGGGUGAAAUCCUGCAGCUUAACUGCAGAAGUGCCUUUGAUACUGUCGGUCUUGAGGGAGAUAGGGGUGUGCGGAACUCACAGUGGAGCGGUGAAAUGCGUUGAUAUUGUGAGGAACGCCGGAGGCGAAAGCGGCGCACUGGAUCUCUUCUGACGCUGAGGCGCGAAAGCUAGGGGAGCAAACGGG
rnacentral:rRNA from 1 species